UCCCUGGUGGUCCAGUGGUUAGGGCUCUGCCCUUCUAAUGCAGGAGGUGUAGGUUCAAUCCCUGGUCAGGGAA
rnacentral:tRNA from 1 species